rnacentral:rRNA from 1 species
AUGAACGCUGGCGGCGUGCCUAAUACAUGCAAGUCGAGCGAACAGACGAGGAGCUUGCUCCUCUGACGUUAGCGGCGGACGGGUGAGUAACACGUGGAUAACCUACCUAUAAGACUGGGAUAACUUCGGGAAACCGGAGCUAAUACCGGAUAAUAUAUUGAACCGCAUGGUUCAAUAGUGAAAGGCGGUUUUGCUGUCACUUAUAGAUGGAUCCGCGCCGCAUUAGCUAGUUGGUAAGGUAACGGCUUACCAAGGCAACGAUGCGUAGCCGACCUGAGAGGGUGAUCGGCCACACUGGAACUGAGACACGGUCCAGACUCCUACGGGAGGCAGCAGUAGGGAAUCUUCCGCAAUGGGCGAAAGCCUGACGGAGCAACGCCGCGUGAGUGAUGAAGGUCUUCGGAUCGUAAAACUCUGUUAUCAGGGAAGAACAAAUGUGUAAGUAACUAUGCACGUCUUGACGGUACCUAAUCAGAAAGCCACGGCUAACUACGUG